CGCGCUGCCACUCGGCGGACGGCAGCGACGCAGAGGACGCGCUGGACGACCUGCCGCCCGACUCGGACGACGAGCCCGACGACGCGACGCCGCCGCCACCGCCGCCGCCGCAAGGCGCCGAGUAUAUCGCGCUCGUGAAGGAAGCAGUGCAGGCGCUAGCGACCCGAGCGGCCCGCGGGCGGAGCGCCCGGGCCGACUGAGUGUCGCUCACCCCGUGGCGCCUCACCGCGCGCACGCUCAACAUGUUCAACGUGUAGACUCGCACCGCACACCCCCACCCGUCGGGCACUAGCCGUAUACACUUACUUGUCGUGUACACGGGGUACUUGUCGUGUACACAGGGUACUUGCCGUGUACACGGGGUACUUGUCGUGUACACAGGGUACUUGUCGUGUACACGGGGUACUUGUCGUAUACACAGGGCACUUGUCAUAUAAUAGUUGCGGAUAUCCGACGGGUACAUGUCGUAUACUAGUAACGGACCCGUCGAACAGUCGCACAACACUAGUUGCACACGCCUCCCUACCCGCCGUAUUCUGUGCCAGUGUACCCUAAUCUAAAGCUGUGCUUACACUGUGUUGUUGUUUGCGUAGUCUGCACGUAAUUCGAACUUUGGACACUUAACGUUCGUUAGUGUGUACGUUUGAAGAACAUUAUUCGCGAGUUUACGUGUGUUUGGAGACGAUUGAUGUUACUGUCGUGAUUAAAAGACUAAUAAAACUGUGUAAUAAAAACCCUCAAGGGCGAAAGCUUGUGAAUAAUUCACAAUACCUAAUAUAUUGUCAUGUCAAUGAUGCUAAUAUGAGAAUGGCAAAACCACCAUAGAACCACGUAAACGGAGUGUUCCUCCUAAUAUAAAAUAUAAUAAUUUUAAAAAUCGUUCGUUAUUGCUCUCGCUUUCUUAUGUAACAUCUGUACAUUCACUGAAACGUUUUAUGAAAACUUUCACAUUUCUUCUAAUAUCUACUAUAGAUAGCAAGAUAAUAUCGAACGAUUAUGAAACUGCGAUCUUAUUCGUACAUUUUAAUGUAGCUGCGUAAUACUUCCAGUGGGAAUUUAUUAUAACGUAAAAUAUGAAGUGCGGAACGUGGACAUUGUCGAUAUAACGAGUCCAAUUUUAUCUCGUAGUUUUAGUCUGAAAUUUAAUGUAUCUUAUUAUAAUGCAAGGUGUGUUUAAUUUAUAUCUUUAUUGAUAUCAAUUUGGCCAUUCUAAAAUACAAACUCCUUUAAUUGGAGUCUGCAUUUUAGAAUAAAGUCAAUGUUACACGAACUUGAGUUUGUUAUUAUCUUCGUAUGUGUGAAGAGUUCUCGUGUAUUUCGCAUUAAAACUUAGAUACGUGCUAUUAUCGGCUAGUGGAGCGAUUUUAUUGUUUAUUACAUAUGUAUAUUUAUCACAAUUUUUAUUGAACUAAGUAAGUUAAAGAGUGUUGAGUGUUGUUUAGAUGGCGCUUUAUGUGUUGCUUAAAUUAAUAUUGCGUCUAUUCUGUUGAACGUAUUUGCUUGAAUGAAAUAAUUGUUUUUGUAUAGAUUUUUGUAAAAUUUAAUUUUGUACAUAAUAAUGUACAAUUGGUGUAAAUGUAUGCUACAUUCCAUAACCCACAUCACAAUAUGUGUUUAUUUAGCCGAAACGUGACAAUGUUUGCGUUUUGACUAAAUUAGGCCAUAUAUAUGUAAUUGAUUUUGUCUUAAAUCUAUGUUUAUUGCGAAAGAAACGUAUUAAAAUACGCCAAAAUUAUUCUACAAUAGUUUCAGUUGUUUAAUGCUUAAAGUCCAUUUUCGCGUGCAUUGAUCUGUGAGUGAUGCGUAUUAAAUGAUGCGUCAAGAAACACGCAAUGCACACGAAAGUCAACUUUAACGUACCUUAUACCUUAUUAUAAAUAGGCAUACAGGUAAAAAUAAAAAUUAUGGCUAUGCAUCAUUAUUAGUUUUUUAGUGAUAACUUAUUUAUGAAUAACUAAUUAUGUUUAAUUUCGCAAUAACCAUUCUUCUUUUCAAUUUUUCGUACAGUCUUUUCUUAAUUUGACCGUCAGAAACGGCUGGUAAUUAUUUAUAAGAGACUGUAGUUACUAAUUUAUAUUUUUUUUCUAUUUUAGAUUUAGAUAUUUCGCAUUCAAUCAAAAUUUAAUAUAAAAAUGUUUCGAUGUACCUAAUUUAAAUUUUACGUUUUUAAGACUGUUUUGGUUUUAAGUUUUAGGUUGUAUAUUAUAUGAGAUCGUGUUUGUAGAAAUAGUUUGAUAAAUUUAAUCCUUAAAUAUUGUAAUGCUUAAAAACAGUUGUAGUAUUUUUAAUUAUUUAGUUUCAAAUAACUUUUCUAAGAAAAACAUAUUUUUCUUGAUAGGUCCUGUGUAGGAAUCUCGUAGUUUUCAUAUAUUAUUAUUUUUUCGUCAAUAAACUAGUUGGUUAAUUAUAAACACGUACACCGUAAUAACACGUCAGGAAGCGUGGAUUCGUUAUCUGUUUACUGAAGUCGGUAAAGUAUUGGUAGAGGUUGCUCUUAAGCUAUUUGGUUUUCGCAAAUUGCUUCGUCAAAAUUGUGUUACGGCUGUGAAUGAUUUCCUAGUUUAAGUGUGUGUGACCUAAGUAGAAUGUUAAAUUGCCCGCUUAGAUAAUCCCAGUACUAAUGAAUGUAUGAUAAUUUUAUACCUAUCGUAAGUUUUACACCCGUCCAAACACCUUAAUUCAUUUAAACCAUCGCGAUUUUAACUUAGGCCAGUACCAACGUAUAGGGUAUAAUAUAAUAUGAUAACAUUUUGACGUAAUUGUCGUUGUAAACUCGUAAAUUCGUUGUUAUCGAUGUGAAAAACAAUUAUAGGUGAAUUAAAUAAUAAGUAAUUUAAGCCGCUGGCAGUGCAUGUAGCAGUAUCUGUUUUCAUUAUUCGAUGGUUUAAAAAUCGGUAUUAAAAUAGAUCCAUAUUUGAUUUGAUUAAAGUUUUACACGUUUUUAAUUCGUUUCAAUAAUUAACAUGGUAUUUUUGUAUCGAUAUUUAAAAAAUAUUAAGUGAAGUGAUAGGAAUAGUUGUCUGCGUGUCGCUAUCACGUAUUCAGAAAAUCGCGUUUGACAUUUUUGUACAUAGCUCAAAACGAGCAUAUGUUUUGUACAACAGUGUUCGCAUUACAUCUACCGCUUUAUUAUAUCAUAAAGAUUUGAUAUCAAUAACCUUUCGUCAUUAGUAUUAGCUGUGUGCGCUGCUCUUCUGUUUUUCUGUAUCGAUCUUAUAAAAGAUUCGUAUUUAUGGUAAAAAUUACACUGCCGAGUUAUAAUACCAAUAUAUUUCUUUUUAUAGUGAUAAUAACAGACCAUACAAUUUUAUAUCGCGCAUUCUAAAAUUGUAUGGUCUGUUACUUUAUAUAACGCACUUAGGGGUGUCAAUGUAUUGUCUUUGUAGAAAAUCAGGAUGGUUCUGAUAGAUCAAUGAAACUUAAAAUGACAUCUUUUCUCCUUCAUAAAUGCAGAGAAGGUGUCAUAUUUUGCUUUCUUUAAUAAAAAUAGUAAAAAUACAGUACUUGAUGAUAUAAGGCUUGCGUUUACUGAAUCUAAACAGUGUAGCGAUGAAUGUAUGAAAAUGAAAGUUAGGGUCGCGCAAUUUUAAAGUCAUCUAAAAGCGCUUAAUUUCAUCUGCUAUGGAAUCAGUCUGCGUGAAGCCUUAUCAUUUCCGGCAUUAGAUAGCGGAUAGCAUUUUUUAACAAUCCAUAAGUAAUUAGGGAUCAUAUGAAGCAAUAUUAGUCGGUUUUAAAUCUUUAUCUACACGUAUUUGCUGUUAAAUAGUAAGCAUUUGAAUAUUUUGGAUUGUUAGAGUCACUGGUCGAUUUUCUAAAAGGGUUAUGAUGUAAUGUGGUGCUAACAAUCAGAGUCGAGUGGACGGUUAAUGAGACAAAAUGUAUAUUUGAUUUUGUCCUGAUUUUAGAGCUUAUUAAUAUAUAUCUAACAUUACUAUAGCUACUGUAAUUAUCUUUAUUUUAAGAUUUAAUAUUAAUUUUCACACGAAUUGUGCCGCAACAUUUAAGCUUUUCAUAGUAAGUAUUUGCGGAAUAUGACCUUGUAUAAUCGUUUAUGUAUUAUACUUAGUGAUUUGUAAUAAAAGUUCAAUUGAAUAAAACUGUGUUAUUAUAAUUCAUUUGUAAAAAUUGAAAAUACUGUAAAUCGGACUGGAAAGCCAAAGUAAACAGUAUUUUAUA